rnacentral:tRNA from 1 species
GGGGAGGUCGCAUAGUUGGCCUAGUGCGCGGGUUUGCUAAACCCGUAAGGAUGCCGUAAGGCGCCUUCGAGGGUUCGAAUCCCUCCCUCCCCGCCG